UUUGGGAGCCUGGAAAAUUCCCCAUUCCCAGGGAUUUUUGGGAUUGUGGCACCUCCUGAGGCUUCAAAUCCCUGGGAAUCAUCCAAGGAUUCAAUCAAGGAUUUGGGAGCCUGGAAAAUCCCCCAUUCCCAGGGUUUUUUUGGGAUUGUGGCACUUCCUGAGGUUUCAAAUCCCUGGGAAUCAUCCAAGGAUUUGUGGGAUUGGAGGAACCCCCCAUUCCCAG